rnacentral:misc_RNA from 1 species
UUACAUUAAAAAAAAAAAAAGUUUAUAUUUCCAUUCUAUGCAUUUUGUCAAAAGAUUAAAAAAAAAUAACCUUUAAAUGCGUUUACUCAUAACAAUUGAAGGCUAACCAUUCAUCAACCAGGAUGCAAGACCCAUGUAGCAUGAAGCAUGGGUGGUGUAUUGGUUGGUAAGCAAGAUUUGUGUGCACUUGCUUCACUUCUCUCAAGUACAAGCUUAUGUGUUUUGUUUAAUCAUUUUAAGAGGUUGGUGGCAGUUGUUAAUAUGCAUGAGCUCAUUUUAUAGAAAUUCUAGCAAUAAUAAAAUAAUAAAUAUACUCUAAUAACAGUAUUUCUUUUUUUUCCAAUAAAAUUGUUAAAUUUACUGACCAUUUGUUUGUGGAAAAAGGGGUGUGAUGCAUCCAUACUUAUAGAUGGAAUCAAUAGUGAGAAAACAGUACCACCAAAUCUGAGUGUUAGGGGAUAUGACAUUAUCGACCAAGCAAAGGCUGCUGUGGAGAACGCUUGCCCUGGCGUUGUAUCUUGUGCUGAUCUCAUUGCAAUAGCUACUAGAGAUGCUGUUUUCUUGAGUGGCGGAGGAAGAUACGAAGUUGAAACAGGAAGAAGGGAUGGUUUAGUUUCCAUAGCUCAAAAUGUAAGUAUCCUAGGGCCUAAAAUAUCAGCUCCCGAGGCCAUUGCAGGAUUUGCUGAUAAAGGGCUUAAUGCUACAGACACGGUGCUUCUUCUAGGUGCCCAUUCUGUUGGAGUUACUCAUUGUUCUCUGAUCAAAGACCGUGUCUACAAUUUUCAAGGCACUGGCAGUCCUGAUCCAGCCAUGGAUCCUUUCCUAGUUAAUAUCCUGAGAUCAAGGUGUCCUCAGAUUUCCCCUGUAGACAACACAGUUAAUCUUGAUCAAAAUCCAUUUAGUCCCUUCUUCUUGGACGUUUCAUACUAUCGAAAUAUAAUGCUGCACAGAGGCAUUCUCCAAAUUGACCAACAGCUGGGAAUGGACCCAUUGACUACGCCCAUAGUGAGAAAUCUAGCUGGGGAAUUUGAUUUCCCUACCAGGUUUGGUGCUGCCAUGGUUAAAAUGGGAGCUAUAGGAGUUCUUACUGGCACACAAGGAGAGAUUAGGAGAUCAUGUAGAGCUACUAAUUAAUGGAUCAUGAUCUACUUAUUUUUAGUAUUGACACUUCUUGUAUAAUAAGCCUUUAGUUAAAACUUUUAUAAAAUCUAAUUGUAAAAGUAAAAAGUUUAAUCAUAUAUAUACAUAUAUGCUUUUCU